AUACGUAGGUGGCAAGCGUUGUCCGGAUUUACUGGGUGUAAAGGGCGCGUAGGCGGGUGUGCAAGUCAGAUGUGAAAUGCCAAGGCUUAACCAUGGAGCUGCAUUUGAAACUGUACAUCUUGAGUAUCGGAGGGGCAGGCGGAAUUCCUAGUGUAGCGGUGAAAUGCGUAGAUAUUGGGAAGAACACCGGUGGCGAAGGCGACUUGCUGGGCAGCAACUGACGCUGAGGCGCGAAAGCCAGGGGAGCAAACAGGAGUAGAUACCCUGGUAGUCCACACUGUAAACGAUGAAUGCUAGGUGUAAGAGGUAUCGACCCCUUUUGUGCCGGAGUCAACACAAUAGGCAUUCCGCCUGGGGAGUACGGCCGCAAGGUUGAAACUCAAAUGAAUUGACGGGG
rnacentral:rRNA from 1 species